rnacentral:rRNA from 1 species
AUUGAACGCUGGCGGCAGGCCUAACACAUGCCAGUCGAGCGGAUGAAGGGAGCUUGCUCCUGGAUUCAGCGGCGGACGGGUGAGUAAUGCCUAGGAAUCUGCCUGGUAGUGGGGGAUAACGUCCGGAAACGGGCGCUAAUACCGCAUACGUCCUGAGGGAGAAAGUGGGGGAUCUUCGGACCUCACGCUAUCAGAUGAGCCUAGGUCGGAUUAGCUAGUUGGUGGGGUAAAGGCCUACCAAGGCGACGAUCCGUAACUGGUCUGAGAGGAUGAUCAGUCACACUAGACCUGAGACACGGUCCAGACUCCGACGAGAGGCAGCAGUGGGAGAUAUUUGACAAUGGGCGAAAUCCUAACCCAGGCAUGCCGCGUCUGUGAAGGAGGUCUACGGAUUGGUAAGCAGUUUUGGUUGGGGGGAGGGGCAGUUAGUGAAAAUCUGGAUGUUUUGACGUGACCAACUGAAUAGGCAACGGCUAACUACGGG